UACGUAGGACCCAAGCGUUAUCCGGAUUUACUGGGCGUAAAGAGUUGCGUAGGUGGCAGAGUAAGUCGAUAGUGAAAACGUGUGGCUCAACCAUACUCACAUUAUCGAAACUGCUCAGCUUGAAGAUGAGAGAGGUCACUGGAAUUCCAAGUGUAGGAGUGAAAUCCGUAGAUAUUUGGAGGAACACCGAUGGCGUAGGCAGGUGACUGGCUCAUUCUUGACACUAAGGCACGAAAGCGUGGGGAGCGAA
rnacentral:rRNA from 1 species